CAGCUUGUUAUUUCUUUCAAGAAUAUUUCACAUUCUCACUAAGUAGAAUGUGUUAAAUAUCCCUUUAGUGGAAGACUUUCUCAAGGGUUAGAAUGUUACAAAUGAAAAGUGCUACCCUGUAUUAAAAACCUAUUGGUACCAUGAUUUGAGGGAGCCUAGCAAAAAACACACAAACAAACAGCUCUAUCAGUUCCCAAGUAUAGUACAUGGAGAGGUGACUUGAUGACUGGAAGGGAUCAAGGGAAAGGCUUUGGCUGAGGGAAUGCAUCUUUUGAUGCAGUGUAGGACCACAGCAACCUCUCUUCUAACUGGGAGAGCCUGGCCUGUCAGCCUGUGAUCACACAGACUUGGCAAAGCAGGCCAGGAGCCAGGGAACCAACAUUGGGAUCCCACUACGGGAACAACUCAUUUAUCUAAAGCUAUUAAGUAAGUAAAAUUCCAAAUCUGUGAUAAUGAAGAUUAGGAUGGUGGCAGAAAGUCAAGUUUGGCAAUAGGAUAAUAAUCAUAGCUAAGGUAUAUAGUACUUACUUUGUUCUAAGCACUUUAGUUGUAUUAACUAACAGAUGAAUAAUAGAGUGAUAGGGAAGUUAGUCUGAAACAAAGGGACCAACUGCAAUAAUCUUGGUUGGUCAUCUCUGAACCAUUUGAUUUGCACAUUUCAUUAGACAUUUUUGAGCACAUAGUCAUAUAUAUGACCACCAUUUAUUAACAUGGAUAACUGUACUAAUAUAUGCAUUAUAAAAGCCAGAAAUGUUAAAGGGAAUAGAAAAAAUACAAAUAGAAAGGCCAAUAAUUGUGACUUCACGGGACAUGAAAUCAUUGUCGUUUCUUUUGUAAAGUUACCAUACAACAGAAGGUGGAUAGUAAGGAAGAAGAAGACGAAGGAGGAAGAGGAGGAUAGUAUCUGCAUAAAACACCUCUAAACAAGAAUUUAAAAGUUAAAGUCGUAAGGAGGUAAGGCAGAUGUAUACCAUCAGCAAGAUAAAGUAAGUAGGAAAAACGAGGCAAAAGGAAAUAGUAUAGACAAUAAAAUUGGUGGAAGAAGGAGGAUUGAACAAAACGCAUACAUGAGCUCCUGCACACUUGUGAGAGGUGGACCAUAUACUUAUCUCUCACAAGUGUGCAGAAGCUCAUAUGCACCUUUUGUCCUAACUUCAUUCCUCAAAGAGGAAACCAUGGUUGGUUAGGGGGCCCAAAGACCAUAAAUACGAAAACAAACUAGUUGUCAGGAGAAGUUAGACUACAUGAGGUACUUCUAUUCGGGCUAGAUCAAGAGGUGUAGGUCUGUGGGAAUGCUACUUUUUUGGCAUCUCUUCAGGCUGAUAAUCUUUAAAAUAUUUCUUUCAAAUUUAUUUAUAGAGGAACUGCGUGAAAAAGAGGUGAGAAAGAAAAUGCUGACAGGGUUCAGCUUCUCAUCCACUAUUCCAGACUAUAUGUCUCCAGGCCUAAAAUUCUUUCUGUUCUUAUUGCUAUAUUGAGAUAUAGCUAGCUAGAUAGCUAGAUAGAUUGAUAGAUAGAUAGACACAAAAUUUACAUAUUUAUGGGGCACAUGUGAGUGUUUGUUACAUGGAAAGAAUGUGUAAUGAUCAAGUCAGGGUAAUUGGAUUAUUUAUUAUUUUUAUGUGUUGGUACCAUUUCAAGUCUUCUCUUCUAGUUGCUUUGAAAUAUAUGUAAUAUUGUUGCUAAGCAUAGUCACCCUAGUCUGCUAUCAAGCAUUGGAAUUUAUUUCUUCUAUCUAACUGUAUGUUUGUACCCAUAACCAACCUCUCUUCACUCCCCCUCUCCCCUCACCCACCUCUCCCAGUCUCUGGUAUCUGCCAUUUUAUUCUCUUUGGCACAAUUUUAGAUUUAUAUGCUUGUUAUGGCCCCAGAUAACGUAGCCCUUAAGCCAGAUCUCAGAGCAGAGAAAUGUCUUCUAUGGUUCUCGUAAAGAAGUCAGAGUGUCAUGUAAUACACAAUGCUCUCAGUAUUAUGGACAGAGUAAUAGCAGAGAGGACUGUUUCUUUUCAUAUUCUUCAAGAAGGCACAAAUCUUCACUAUAAAGUACAGUUUCAUAAAAGCAUUUCUACCAAGGUAGCAGAGGAGAAGGGGAUAUGGCAAGGUGAGCAAUGUUUAAAUUGGGUAAAGAAGAAAUAUUGCCAUUUCAAAAGAAUUUCCUAAGGCAAUAAAAAAGGAAGAAAGAAAAGAAAAAAAGACACACAUGACUAUAUAAAGAAAGUAGUUUUGUGGCAGUAAUUCUUAGCUUAUACAAGUGGUGCAAAUAUAAAAAUUUAAUAAGCACAUUGAAUAAAUGAGCCUCCAUAUGGUUCAACAUAAAAAAUAGAAACCAUAUACAGGAAACAGACAUCAUAAAUCAAAGUAUUCAGGUGUUCAGUAAGAUUUUUUAGAAUUCUAAUGUAAACUCCAAAUGUAAAUUGGUUUUGUACCUGUUUACUGGUUUAUCACUGAUGAGUAUAAAAUUACAAAUGAAAUGUAAUUUUCAUUGAGCUUUGGCAUUGUGGGAUUUUUCCUGGGCAACAUAUUUACCUCCCUCCUCAUGUUCAGCUUGCAUGACUGUUGAAAUUACCUGACUUUUCUUGAAAGUCCAAACCAACUAGAGGUCCAUGGGAUGGCCAAAAAAACAAAAAACAAAAACAAACAAAAACAAAAAAAAAAGCAACUGAGAUGACAAAUAAUCCACAAAAUCCACAGAAGGAUUACUGAAAGUUGACUCCCUAUAAGCUUCCUUCUCCAGAGGACAUGACAAUGGCGAGUCCAGCACUGAGCAUGGUCCUGAGCCUGGCUCAGGGGCAUGACUGGGAGAGAAGAGUGAGAAGAAAGCAGAGAGCCCAAGCCAUCUAUAACCCAGGAGAAGAACAGGCUACAUAAUUUGAGGGACUCAGAGUAAAAAUGAAAAUGUAGAGCUCCUUGUUCAAAAAGUAUUAAAAUUUUCAAGAUGGUGACAACAGAGCAUGCAACAAACAUGAGGCCCUUCUCAAAGCAGAGCUCUGUGCAACCGCACAGUUCCCACACCAUGAAGCUGGCCCUGACUGGGAGCAAGUUCUUAGGUCCAUGCAUGAGGAAGUUUGGGUAAAAUAGAAAACAUCCUCCUCUCCUUAGGCACUGGCCUCUUCCCUUGCCUUUCUUUUGGCUUCAGCCCCAUGGCUGACUGUAAGAACUCAGGCCUUAAGAACGAAAUAAUUAUUAGCCAACAAACUGGUUAUGUCAGUGACCAUUUACUGAAUUUCUUCUGAAUUAAUAUUGCAAACACAAAAUUAGGGAAGAGAGUAGAGGACAAAUUGGGGGGACAAGUAUUUAUUUGCUUUAUGUUUUAGUCCAAAUUGUUUGAACAUCAGUUCCUGCUUAGGAAAGGAGUUUGUAGCUUUAAGUUUAUAGCUCACAAGGGAAAGAUAUUUUUCAGAAUUCUGUGAACAAGCUAUUUUAACCCAAAAGAUAAUUUGGGGAUAUUCCAACUCAUAGUUUCUACUCUUUAUUAGAAGAAACACACAGAAACCUGGCUGAGUUGGGAUCUUAAGCCUUGUGACAAAAAAUAAAUUCAUCCCCAAACAUGGAAGCUUAAUUCAAUGAGAAGCCAUAUGACAGUCUCCAAAAACCCCCAAAACAAAUGUCCCAAAGGCCUAAAUUAGUCUUGCCUCAUUUCAAGAAAACACCCAAAAUUAAAAAGCAAAUCUGUGAUUUUUUUUUACUCUGUGAAAAUGACCAUUUGCUCAGAGUUUGCAUUUGAGCCUAAAACAUAACACGCUUGAGGGAAGAACAAAGGCAUCCUCUGCAGAAGCAAAGCCACCCAUGGCACCAAGUCUACUGGGCACCUUGUCGAAAAAUGAAUCCUUGGCUGUGUCACAUGAGCUAAACCUAAGUAUUUUACUGGAGUUGUAAAGAAUAAGUUUUUGCUUUUCUGUCAUUUGGAUAUUCUGCCCUGGCUUGUUUAUUUGGAUUCUGUACUACCUUGUUUCUAAUCCAAAACCAGGCCGAGGAGGUGCUUCAGGGUAAUGAACUGAGGUGGGCCUUAAGGCUACAGUCAUCUGGCUCCACAUUUAAGCCAAUCUUGAAAUGAGGAUGUGAACAUAGGUUAUGCCACGACAACCUAUAUCGAUGCAAUUAAGGAUGUACUACAGAAAAUUACUGCAGCAAUUGUGCCUUUAGAAGAAAAAGAAGGGCCAGACACAGUGGCUCUCAUCUGUAAUCCCAGCACUUUGGGAGGCCGAGGUGAGCAGAUCACGAGGUCAGGAGUUCAAGACCAACCUGACCAACGUGGUGAAACCCUGUCUCUACUACAAGUACAAAAAUUAGCUGGGCAUGGUGGCAUGUGCCUAUAACCCCAGCUACUCAGGAGGCUGAGGCAGAAGAAUCGCUUAAACCCAGGAGAUAAAAGUUGCAGCGAACUGAGAUCGUGCCAUUGCACUCCAGCCUGGGUCACAGAAAGACUACAUCUCAAAAAAAAAAAAAAAAAAAAAAAGAAGAAGAGGAAGAGGAAGAAAAAGAAAAUGACCUUUGAAACAGACCGUCAAGGUGAAAACUGAAGCAAGUUGUAACUUCCUUGGCUUUGCCAAGUGUCCACCAAUGCUUUUAAGUGUGUGUCACUCCGAGGUCAACAUUCCGCAGAUAUGCCUUAUUGAGAGUCUCUGCAGAAUGGAGUAAUAGGAGAACUCAUAAGUUGGCUUUCUGCUAAGGAAUGUUAGCCCAGCACAAAAGUAGUUUUUGAAACUUUUUAGAGAAACUCUCUGCAGAAAUUUCGAUUCACAGCAUCUCUGUGAAAGGAUUCAGUAAAUCUACAGAGAAAUGAGGGCUAGGGUUUGCUGAAGAUCACAAAACCACUUAGAAGCAGUAACAACCCUAGUGUGAAGAUUCCAAAAUUGUGUCCUAGGAACACUAGUUGCUCAGAAUAUUAAUAGGAGUUAGGUGAAAACAGGAUUCUGGGGUCAAAUAUGUCUAGAAGAUGAGGAAUUACACUAAGUUGAGGGAUGUCUUUACAGCAGCACUCCUCAGAGCCUUUACUGUGUGACUGUGUGCCAUCAUCUGUCAGAGGGGACUGGUCUGCAGCACCCUCAAACUUACUUCAUCAAAGAGACUGUUCACCCUGAAUUUAUUUGAAUGCUCUUUAUAUGCAUGAAUUUAAAUGAGCUGGAGUUAAUUUAUAUCAGCUAAUGAGAGAGAAUCUUGUUUAAUUUUUAGGAAACUAAUGAGCCAGUUGUUAAACUUGGCAAUUAUUAAAAAGUAAAUUAUAUGAAUACAAAUAAAUAAAUAAUUUUAAAAAGAAUAAUUUAGGAAAUUUUAUUCCUGAAGCAUUUCCCAGAAAUAAAAUUCCAUGCAGCAUGCUUUGGGAAGCACACUCCUAGAUAAGUAGUUUGAAGUCCUUAAAUUUGAGUCUUUAACACACUCUUUUUUUCUCUCCAGAAUUUACACUAUCUCUUUGAAGCUAAUUCAAGGAUGAGUGAAACUUGUCACUUAUAACACAAAGAAUUUCUGGUAUAAAGUAAAUCAGUUGUUUUUACAUAAUUUACUUAUAUUUCCCCUAAAUGAAUUGAUCUGUUUUCAUUCUAGCUUUACUUACACAUAGGAGCAUUAGAAAACACCUCAAUUUCUGCAAACUUAAGUAUAAGUUUACAAUUUAUGGAAUUAAACAAAAGGAUAAAUGGAUCCUUAUAGUGAUUUUAUUUUUGAGACAUUUAAGUAACAUCCAACAUCUAGGGAGCCCAUGUGUGAAUUACCUGUGAAGUAGUUUUUUAAAGUCAGUUGCCUUUGGUAUGCUUUCAUGGUGAUUUUGUCAAUUCCUGAUCUCCAGUUGCUUCUUAAAUAUUACUCAACUUUAAAUCAGGGAUGGAAGUGGUGAUCAGAGAACAAAAGGUCACCAACUAAAGACAAUAGGGAGCACAGAUACCAGUAAGAACAGCAGAUAGGAAUAAAGAGACGAACCUUCAACACUUCCUCUCACAAGCUGAUGGUUCUUACUCCAGAUUCCCCAAAAUGAUGCACCUUAAGCUAGAUUUCCCUUGCCUGUCCCCCUCUCUGGGCCCUCUCUUUAUUCCCAACAAUUGGCUCUUAAAAUGAUCUGAACACAUCAAGCACUCUGACAGAGAUGGAGUAGCUAACAUUUCCUUCACUUUGCUACCAAAUCUAUGCUGUUCUUGGGUGACCAUGACCUUAAAUUUGAGUCUCUUCAAACAGUAAUUAAUCUUCCCUGGGCACAAAACAGGGUGGCCCUAGCUCAGUGUUAGUGCUAGGAUAAUAAGGGAAUAUGUCUACUUUCAGCCUUUGUAGAGCUCACAAGUCAAAGUUAUUAAUAGUAGUAGCAGUAGUAAUUACCUAAUACAUUCCAUUUGUGUAUGCAAGGCUUUGUUGAAUACUCUUUAUAUGCAUGAAUCUAAAUGAGCUAGAAUUAGUUUAUAUCAGCUCAUGAGAGAGAAUCUUGUUAAAUUUUUAAGAAACUAAUAAGCCAGUUGUUAAACUCUGCAACUAUUAAAAAUUAAAUUGUAUGAAUACAAAUUAUAAAAUCAAUAAAUUGCAAAUGAAUAAAAAUUUAAUUAUAUUAAUUAUUUUAAAAAGAAUAAAAAUACUGAAAAUGAACUUCUUCCUAAUUAUUUUACUAUUAUGUGAGGUUAUUUACAUCUAUUGUAUUUAUAUAAAGGAAACAUUACAUCAUGGUGUCCAAACCAAUUGGACACAAUAAGAAAUACACAAUAGGCAUUUAGGGCCCACCUGGAUAUUCUGGGAUGAGCCUCUCUUCUCAAGAUCUUUAAUCACAUACAUCCUUUGCUAUGUAAUGUAAUAUUCUCACAUGCUAGUAAUUAGGACAAAUGUAUCUUUGGAGCCACAUUCAGCCCACUACAGUCAUCAUCAUCAAUGACCCAAAACCUAUGCAUUGAUUUAGGACUUCAGUAGGAUUGCUGUCCUCAAGAAACCUACACCCUACAGAGAGAGACAGAACUCAUACCAUUAAGUCAAUCACAGGGAAUACAAAAUGAUGCAGCCACUUUGGAAAACAGCUUGUCAGCUUCUAAAAAAGUUAAGAAACUGGAUGUUUGUGAAUAAGAUCUUGAGAAGAUAGAUUUACCAUAAGAACCAGCAAUUCCACUCCUAGAUUUAUACUGAAGAGAAAUCAAGGCAUAUGUACACACAAAGACUUGCAUAUGAAUGUUCAUAGCAGCAUUAUUCAUAAUAGCCAAAAGGUAGAAACAGCCCAAAUAUCCAUUAACUGGUGACUGGAUGAACACAAUAUGGUAUAUCCAAGGAAUGGAACACUAUUCAGCAAUAAAAAGGAAUGAGAUGUUGAUACAUGCUACAACAUGGAUAAAUUUCAUGCUAAGUAGAAGAAGCCAGACACAAAGACCACACUUUGUUAUGAUUCCAUUUUUAUAAAAUGCCCAGAAAGGGCAAAUCUAUAGAAACAGAAAGUAGAUUGGUGGUUGCCCGGGGCUGGAGGGGCAGAGGGGAGCAGGUAAUGACUGCAAAUGAGCAUCAGGGAUCUAUCUGGGGAUAAUGGAAAUGUUUCAAAAUUAGAUUUUGGUGAUGAUUGCACCAUUCAGUAGACUUACUAAAAAUCAUUGAAAUCUAUACCUAACAUGGGAGGUUUUCAUGGUAUGCAAAUUAUAUCCCAAUAAAGUUAUUUUUUUUAAGUGAAUGAUAGCCUAAGACCAUAUAUGCAAAGGGUAAGUGAGUGAUGCAAAGGUUGAAGAGAGGAU
rnacentral:lncRNA from 10 species